AGAGCGGUUGAAUGCACCGGUCUUGAAAACCGGCAAGGGCUUGCGCCCUUCGAGGGUUCGAAUCCCUCCCUCUCCGCCA
rnacentral:tRNA from 2 species